rnacentral:tRNA from 1 species
GACCCACUGUGGCAUAGUGGUUUGAGUGUUGGACUGUGAUUCUGGAAACCAGGGUUCAAUUCCUGGCUUGGUCA